rnacentral:rRNA from 1 species
GACGAACGCUGGCGGCGUGCUUAACACAUGCAAGUCGAACGAGUGGCGAACGGGUGAGGAACGCGUAUCAACCUGCCCUUCAGAGGGGGAUAACUACUGGAAACGGUAGCUAAUACCGCAUACCAUCAGAGGUGCCCAGAUGGGGUGAUCUAGUAGGUGGGGUAACGGCUCACCUAGGCGACGAUCCCUACCUGGUCUGAGAGGAUGAGCAGCCACACUGGAACGUGGACACGGUCCGGCCCCCUGCGGGAGGCAGCCGUGGGGAGUAUUGAACAAUGGGCGCAAGCCUGAUGCAGCCAGGCCGCGUGUGUGAAGAAGGCCUUCGGGUUGUAAAGCACUUUCAGCGGGGAGGCGUUACCCGCAGAAGAAGCACCGGCUAACUCCGUGCCAGCAGCCGCGGUAAUUC